rnacentral:rRNA from 1 species
UACGUAGGGUGCAAGCGUUAAUCGGAAUUACUGGGCGUAAAGCGUGCGCAGGCGGUUUGUAAGUCAGAUGUGAAAUCCCCGGGCUUAACCUGGGAACUGCGUUUGAAACUACAAGGCUAGAGUGUGGCAGAGGGGGGUGGAAUUCCACGUGUAGCAGUGAAAUGCGUAGAGAUGUGGAGGAACACCAGUGGCGAAGGCGAGUCCCUGGACAACUUCUGACGCUGAGGCAACGAAAGCUAGGGGAGCAAACAGG